rnacentral:tRNA from 1 species
GGAGAUGUACCCAAGUGGUUGAAGGGUCCGCUCUCGAAAAGCGGUAGGGGCCUAAUAAGCCUGCGAGAGUUCGAAUCUCUCCAUCUCCGCCA